GCUGGGUGUGGUGGCUCACGCCUGUAAUCCAGCUCCCUGGGAGGCCGAGGUGGGAGGAUUGCUUGAGCCCAGGAGUUCCAGACCAGCCUGGGCAACAUGGCAAAAACCCACCUCUA
ensembl:misc_RNA Metazoa_SRP Metazoan signal recognition particle RNA